UUAAAACAAUGGGCCGCCAUCUUGGUCUGCAACACUCUGGUUAUCACAGCCUCUGAAGCAGUCCAUGUUCACCAUGGUCAGGUUGACAAAGGUUUUCAGGUGUCACUCGGCCAGGUAUCAUCCCAGCAUGGAAUACCUUAAAGUGGACAGACAGCUAGCUACCUGUCACAUCAUGGUCAAUCACAUCACCUGGUGCCAUCUCCCCUCCACAGUCAGGUGCCCCCUGAUCUGACCUGAGAUAGCCAGCACCUUG